GGGAGACAUGAAAUAUCACAUGGGAUAGGGAGAGCUUGCUUAGUCUUGCAGGUGCUCUACCUGCAAGGGUAUGAGUUUCACGUGGUUGGCUGAGUGUAGUGUGUGCUGACGCCAGACUUUUUUUUUUAUGCACAGAAUUGACAUUGGCAGCCUGGAAUAGAGUUUACAGUCGUGUGGGUUAAGCUUGUAUAUAGCCCCCUGAAAUAUUUCUGGAUGUGUCGUGUUUCAAGAAGUAUAUUAUUCUGGUGUGGUUAAUAAUGCCCCAAUUACACUGCCGGAGGUGGAGUUACACCUCCAGCAGCAGA